rnacentral:tRNA from 1 species
GUGGCCGUAGAUCAGCUGGUAGAUCACCGGAUUGUGGCUCCGGUUGUCGCGGGUUCGAAUCCCGUCGGUCACCCCA